rnacentral:sRNA from 1 species
UUUAAGCUUAUUUUGCAUACUUAGGCAUCUAGGGUCAUCUUGCAUUCACAUUGCAUGUUUUGGUGUGUUUUCAGGUGCAGAAGGAGCUAAGAAGGACUCUACUCGAUCCAUUCACUCGAUCCAGACAGCUACAGAAGAGGCAUCAUUUCACUCGACCUCUCUACUUGAUCCAGGAUGGUACAAAGGAGGCUGCAGUACAAAGGAGGUACUUGACCCUCUUACUCGAUCAAGGCAGCCUCAGAUGAAGCAGAAGAUUGAUUUACUCGCCCCUCCUACUCGAUCCACUACUCGAUCCAUUUACUCGACCAAGGGUGACCAUCUCUACAAGAAUUGUUGAGCUAUCAAAGCGUCUUCGGAUCCUCCUCAUUCCCCACUCAACCAGACAUCUAAGCAUACGGAUAGGAGAAGAAGAAGCAUCUACUCGACCAAUUGAUCACUCGGAGCAUAGACACAAAGGCGCAGACUUUGCAGCACCCUCUUUACUCGAUCCCCAAGAUGAGUAUUCGCCCAGACCGCCUCAAGUCUUUUGUCUUCUAGUGAAUCUAGGGUUUCAACAUUUUAUUAUAAAUAGAUCACUUUGGGGUUUGUCCAAAAGAUCUAUGCUUUAUCUUUCAGUUUUUCUUUGUGUUUAUGAAUCUUACAACCUUAAGUACUCUUAAUCUAUUUUGUUUUUGCAUUUGAUUGUUUAAGUAAAGUUGUUUAGGUUGUUUAGAUCUACAUUUUGGUAUGAUUUCAGUAAUUUCUGGGUUUGUGUUCUUGAGAAUGUUGCUUGAGUAGUGAUUAGGGUUCUUGAGGAUGGAUUAGAUUAGGGUAAUCUCUAGGUUAGUUAGGUGGUUAGUGUUUAGGUUAAUACCCUUCUGGAUUCGCUUGGCCCCUAUGCGGUUUUUGCUGGCUAAUGUGGAGAUUCGAUCAUAGCAUCCAGCGUUCAAAAGACGUUCAAAUGGAUGUCUGACCUACGAAUUCCAAAGAUUUGUAGACUCGACCAAUAGAUUGGCUUGUCUUCCUAUUGGCUUUGGUAGAUUGUUUCUUAAACCCUACUCUGCCUUGUUUCAUCAACGAGAGUUGAGAUUAGGAAGUGGUAGAGUUAUGGGGAUCUCUGUCAUGAGAGUGGAUUGACCCGGUUUUUGAAUCUAUCGUCAUGGGUAUCUAUCUUUUGCCUAUUAGCCAUCUGAUGAACCGUAGAGUUGCCCUUAUCAAUGAAUCCAUCCUUAGAAUUUCUACUAGAUUUAUUUGUAUCCAUGUUGGUUGCACUUUUAUUUACCCGUUAUUUGUAUCCCCUAUUUGUAUCCCAAGUUAAUUGCAUUUUAGUUCUUAAUUUUGUCAUCAGUUGGUUCUACUCGACCCAAUGAUCGAGUAGGCUCUUAAGUUCUCAUUUUUACUUGUUUGAAUCCUGACCUAGGAUUGUUACUAGAAACCCACCAUCAUUAUAAUCUGGCUUGACUUAGUUGCUUUUGUUCACAUCUUGAUUGCUAGCAAUACAGUGGACUGGAUUGACACCCCCUAUAGCCGCAUCGACAUGUUUGUGUUUUAGGGGAAUUGAACUGAAUCACACAUUCAACAUAAGCAGACCUGAAAAACCUGCUUAUCAAUUUGGCGUCGUUGCCAAUUCAUCGUUGCAUUGUUACAUUCAAGACAUCAGAAACUUUUAAGAUCAAGUUCUUUUACAUUUUUCAAGUUACUAACUCAUCAUUUCGUCUGCUUGUUUUUGUGGUAUAGGUACUAAUCUUUGUCCAUGCAAACUCGAUCCAAAGGUUCUGCACACCUAUUACCAUUCAGAGACAGAAUUGACAGAAUAGCUCGUGAGUUACAAGAAACCAAAGCAAAGGCAGCCUGUGAUCAGCAAAGACCAGCUGCUAUGGAUCAACAGAACAUACCAGUUGAUAUUCAAGACUCACCUAAUGUUGAUCAACCAAGAAACAUUGGUGCUGGUGAUGCCCCAAGGAAUCAUCACGAAAGACAAGGGAUAGUGCCUCCACCAGUUCAGAUUAACAACUUUGAGAUCAAGAGUGGUCUCAUCUCAAUGAUCCAAGGAAACANNNNNNNNNNNNNNNNNNNNNNNNNNNNNNNNNNNNNNNNNNNNNNNNNNNNNNNNNNNNAUGUUGCCUGAAAACUCCUAGAACUCUGGGUUGGAUACAAAGCUCAAGAGGAUACUAUUUGGGAGCUAACUUACAAGAUGGAAGGACUGAACCACGCAAUGUUGGAACUUCAAGAAAUGGUUAAAGGCUACCCCUGUUUUGAAUUUGAGGAUUGGUCAAAGGAGCCUGGGUCAGAAGAAGAAGACUACUCUGCUGAUCAGAAAGAAGCUUACUUUGAAGAAAAA